rnacentral:rRNA from 1 species
CAAAAGCGUAUAUUAAAGUUGUUGCAGUUAAAAAGCUCGUAGUUGAACCUUGGGCUUGGCUGGCCGGUCCAUCUUUUUUGAUGCGUACUGGACCCAGCCGAGCCUUUCCUUCUGGCUAGCCUUUUGGCGAACCAGGACUUUUACUUUGAAAAAAUUAGAGUGUUCAAAGCAGGCCUUUGCUCGAAUAUAUUAGCAUGGAAUAAUAGAAUAGGACGUUAUGGUCCUAUUUUGUUGGUUUCUAGGACCAUCGUAAUGAUUAAUAGGGACGGUCGGGGGUAUCAGUAUUCAGUUGUCAGAGGUGAAAUUCUUGGAUUUACUGAAGACUAACUACUGCGAAAGCAUUUACCAAGGACGUUUUCAUUAA